GCGGAGGAAAAGAAACCAACAGGGAUUGCCCUAGUAACGGCGAGUGAAGCGGCAACAGCUCAAAUUUGAAAUCUGGCUCUCUUUGGGGGUCCGAGUUGUAAUUUGCAGAGGAUGCUUUGGCAUUGGCGGCGGUCUAAGUUCCUUGGAACAGGACAUCACAGAGGGUGAGAAUCCCGUACGUGGUCGCCUGCCCUUGCCGUGUAAAGCUCCUUCGACGAGUCGAGUUGUUUGGGAAUGCAGCUCUAAAUGGGAGGUAAAUUUCUUCUAAAGCUAAAUACUGGCCAGAGACCGAUAGCGCACAAGUAGAGUGAUCGAAAGAUGAAAAGUACUUUGGAAAGAGAGUCAAAAAGCACGUGAAAUUGUUGAAAGGGAAGCGCUUGCAGCCAGACUUGCCCGCAGUUGCUCACCUAGGCUUUCGCCUGGGGCACUCUUCUGCGGGCAGGCCAGCAUCAGUUUGGGCGGUUGGAUAAAGGCCUCUGUCACGUAUCUCCCUUCGGGGUGACCUUAUAGGGGAGGCGUAAUGCAACCAGCCCGGACUGAGGUCCGCGCAUCUGCUAGGAUGCUGGCGUAAUGGCUGUAAGCGGCCCGUCUUGAAACACGGACCAAGGAGUCUAACAUCUAUGCGAGUGUUUGGGUGUCAAGCCCGAGCGCGUAAUGAAAGUGAACGGAGGUGGGAACCUUUUAGGUGCACCAUCGACCGAUCCUGAUGUCUUCGGAUGGAUUUGAGUAAGAGCAUAGCUGUUGGGACCCGAAAGAUGGUGAACUAUGCUUGAAUAGGGUGAAGCCAGAGGAAACUCUGGUGGAGGCUCGCAGCGGUUCUGACGUGCAAAUCGAUCGUCAAAUUUGGGCAUAGGGGCGAAAGACUAAUCGAACCUCUAGUAGCUGGUCUGC
rnacentral:sRNA from 1 species